rnacentral:rRNA from 1 species
ANUCCCCNCCCGGNGUACGGCCGCAAGGUUAAAACUCAAUGGAUUNACGGGGCCCCCCAAGCGUGGAGCAUUUGGUUUAUUUCGAUGCAACGCGNAGAACCUUACCUACUCUUGACAUCCAGAGAACAUUCCAGAGAUGGAUUGGUGCCUCGGGAACUCUGAGACAGGUGCUGCAUGGCUGUCGUCAGCUCGUGUUGUGAAAUGUUGGGUUAAGUCCCGCAACGAGCGCAACCCUUAUCCUUUGUUGCCAGCGAUUUGGUCGGGAACUCAAAGGAGACUGCCGGUGAUAAACCGGAGGAAGGUGGGGAUGACGUCAAGUCAUCAUGGCCCUUACGAGUAGGGCUACACACGUGCUACAAUGGCGUAUACAGAGGGAAGCGAUAGUGCGAGCUGGAGCGAAUCUCACAAAGUACGUCUAAGUCCGGAUUGGAGUCUGCAACUCGACUCCAUGAAGUCGGAAUCGCUNGUNAUCGCAAAUCAGAAUGUUGCGGUGAAUACGUUCCCGGGCCUUGUACACACCGCCCGUCACACCAUGGGAGUGGGUUGUACCAGAAGUAGAUAGCUUANCCUUUUGGAG